CCUGCCUCAGCCUCCUGAGUACUGGGAUUACAGGCUAAGAGGACAGCCAGUAUUUUGGCCCAGUUCUCCAAGGUCAACGAGGACCCAAGACAUGAGGGAACCUCUGCUGUGACAUCCUACAACUCUGGUAAAUCACCUGUUCUCCCAGCCAGGGAGGCUGAUGAACCACAGAGCACAGAAAUCAACAAUGUACAGUGUGGCCACGCAGAGUCACCAGAAGAGAUGGGGAUAUAGCUCAGCGGCACAAGCGCCUGCCUAGCAAGCACAAGGUCCUGCGUUCAACUCCUAGUACCCCAAAAUAAAGAAAAGGAAAAGGACAAUCACCAGGAGAAAAAAGUCUCCCAUGCUUUCAUAGAAAACAAUCAGCCUUGCAAAGGCUGUGACUCAUACUGAUGGCUGACACUGACGGAAAAACUGAGAGGCUCUAUACAUGGUUCAAAGGUAGAUCCUGAAGAGACUUAACUGACCUUGAUAGAUGUCUCACUUUAACUUGGUCCUGAACAUCCAGCAGAAAUGUAUAACCAAAAGAUAUAUAAAACAAUGUCAUAAUAAUAAGCUAGAUAUAGGAAGGGGCUCCAAUCACUAACCCAUUCUGGCAGUUUCCAACUAUACCAGUAACUAACCACUGUUACGUGUUACUAAUAAUAAAUUAAAAUAAAACCUG